rnacentral:rRNA from 1 species
UGGGGAAUAUUGCACAAUGGGCGAAAGCCUGAUGCAGCGACGCCGCGUGAGGGACGAAGGCCUUCGGGUUGUAAACCUCUUUCAGCAGGGAAGAAGCGAAAGUGACGGUACCUGCAGAAGAAGCACCGGCUAACUACGUGCCAGCAGCCGCGGUAAUACGUAGGGUGCAAGCGUUGUCCGGAAUUAUUGGGCGUAAAGAGCUCGUAGGCGGUUUGUCGCGUCUGCUGUGAAAACUCAGGGCUUAACCCUGAGCCUGCAGUGGGUACGGGCAGACUAGAGUGUGGUAGGGGAGAUCGGAAUUCCUGGUGUAGCGGUGGAAUGCGCAGAUAUCAGGAGGAACACCGGUGGCGAAGGCGGAUCUCUGGGCCAUAACUGACGCUGAGGAGCGAAAGCAUGGGGAGCGAACAGGAUUAGAUACCCCCGUAGUCC